rnacentral:rRNA from 1 species
UACAGAGGUCUCAACCGUUGUUCGGAUUCAUUGGGCGUAAAGGGUGCGUAGGCGGUCGUGCAAGUCGGAUGUGAAAUCUCAGGGCUCAACCCUGAAACUGCAUUCGAUACUGCGUGGCUAGAGUGCUGGAGAGGAGACUGGAAUUUACGGUGUAGCGGUGAAAUGCGUUGAUAUCCAUAGGAACUCCGGUGGCGAAGGCGGCGUGCUGGACCUCUUCUGACGCUGAGGCGCGAAAGCCAGGGGAGCGAACGGG